GAUGAAGAACGUAGCGAAAUGCGAUAAGUAAUGUGAAUUGCAGAAUUCAGUGAAUCAUCGAAUCUUUGAACUCACAUUGCGCCCGCCAGUAUUCUGGCGGGCAUGCCUGUUCGAGCGUCAUUACAACCCUCAGGCCCCCGGGCCUGGCGUUGGGGAUCGGCGGAGCCCCCCGUGGGCACACGCCGUCCCCCAAAUGCAGUGGCGGUCCCGCCGCAGCUUCCAUCGCGUAGUAGCUAACACCUCGCGACUGGAGAGCGGCGCGGCCACGCCGUAAAACACCCAACUCUUCUGAAGUUGACCUCGAAUCAGGUAGGAAUACCCGCUGAACUUAAGCAUAUCAAUAAGCGGAGGA
rnacentral:misc_RNA from 1 species